CAAUCUAAAGCUACUGUCCUUAAAGACUGCCAGUAAUUCUUCUCCCAGGCUUCUUGAACCCUCUUCGAUAAGGCUUUUGAUCCUGCCAAUCCAGUGAAACAUUUCCCCUCAUGGGUGCUGCAAACAUUUCAACUCUCUGUUGCUGCAAACACCUUCCUAUCUUGAUUUCCAGGAUACCACACAACUUUAUGACUACUUCUUCAUUUCUCUUGCUGGUUCCUAUUUAUCUUUCCAACCUGAAGUCCUUCAAGUGUUCUAAGGCUCCGUCCUUGAACCUCUUCUCUCUUCUAUCAGCUCUCGCUACCUAAGGGCUUUCACUCAUUAUCAUGGCUUUAAAUGCAAUGUAUUUGCUGAUGGCUCCUUAUUUCCAGCCCUGAUGCUUUCUCUGAAUUCCUGACCUAUCUACCUGUCUACUUGAUAUUUCCAUUUGGAUAUCUAAUAAGCAUCUCAAACUUAACAUGUCUAAAACUGAGCUCUUAAUAUUAUAUUCUUAAUAUUCUCCCCCAAACCUAUAGCUCCUGUAUUUCACUCAUCUCAGUUAAUGGUGACACCAUUCUUCCAACUGCUCAUGUCAUCUUUACUCUCCUCAUGCUCCACUAUUCCUUGUAAAAAAAUUAUGUCUGUCCUUCCUUUAAAAUAGAGCCAACACUUGAGCCUUCCUCACCAAUCCUCUGCCACCACACUGGUCCAAUUCACCAUCAUUUCCCGUUUGGAUUUUUGCAAUAGCCUUCUAAUUGGUCUGCCUGUCUAUCUUGGCCUUUUGUGAUCUGUUAUCAGCAUGGCAGCCAGAGUGACCAGUUGAAGCCUAGGUUAGAUUGUUUCAUACCUUCUGCAUAUGUAUCCAUUGUCCUCUUUCUUCAUUCAGAGUAAAAGGCAAUGUCUUAAUGACAAACUCUAAGACCCAGAAUGGUCUUUCUCCCUGUCACCUUUAUGACUUCAUUUAUCCUCUUGCCAUUAAUUUCUCCAAUUAAUGGAAAGCUACUUUGGACUUCUUGGCUAUUUCUUGAAUGUCCCAGGCACAUUCUUGCCCCAGGACCUUUGUCCUUGCUGUUUCCUCUGCCUGCCUGGAGGUCUCCUCCUCAUCAUCCUCAGCUCUUUGCUAAAAGUCAUCUUCUCACUCUGGUUUUUUCUAAUUACCCUAUCUAAAAAUCUCAAUUACUGCUUCUUUAAUAUUUCAUUCUUCCCUUCCAGGCUUUAUUUUUCCUCCUUAGUAUUUACCAUUUUCUGGUGUAAAUUUCACAUGUUCAAUCCUGUUUAUUGUCUUGCUUCCUUGCCAAAAUGUUUGCUUCAUGGAGUCAAAGAUUUUGUUUUGUUUAUUCUUGUAGCUCCAGUUCUUAGAAAAAAUGGCUGGCCUGUAGGCUUCACUAAAUAUUUGUUCCAUAAAAGAAUAAAACUGAAUAAAUUGUGGACAAAGAUAAACAUUUCUUAAAGCUCUAUUUCAUUACUGGUCUUUCCAAAGAGAUGUUUAUAAAGAAUACUUCCAUCCUUUCAAGUUGAAUAAUUUGGGCUAGUCUUAUCCACAAAACCAGUGUAAUCCUUAGUCACCAGAAUUUUCAAAUACUGAAAAAUGGCAGUGCUAAUUGUAGCUUUCUGUAUAUUUUAGUUGAUCAUUUAUCGAGUACCCAUUUAGUGCCAGAAAUGGCUCUUUGUUGAAUUGCUAAUAGAAUAGAGAUAUUUGGAGAUGAUCAGCUCUGUAAUUUAUCAACUGCGUGAUGCUGGGCGGUUACUAAAUCUCUCUGGACCUUGGGUUCCUCCCUGUAAAUGGCCACGAUAUGGGACACUCCCCUGACUUGUCGAAGGCUAUAUUAAAGUUCAAUAUAUGCACAACUGCACACUGGUUGAUAUCUUCGGCAUAAGAAAAUCAACUUCGCUAGAGAUAAUUGUUAUUCUAGUAUUAAUAUAUUUUACUACGUAUGCUUUUAUAAACAUUACAGAUAUUGCUGACCAUUAUUCCCUACUGCAAGGUGUAGAUGGAAGCAGUACUUGUCAGGGGCGACAGGACAAGAAGAAUGCCAUUUUUUUUCCUUUUGUUGAGUGACGUAUGUCACUGUAUACAUUUAAAGUGUACAGAAUAAUGGUUUGACUUACAUAUAUUGUGAAAUGAUUACCAUGAUAAGUUUAGUUAGCAUCCAUCAUCUCAUACAAAUAUAACUAAAAAAAAAGGUAAAAAAGAAAAAAAAAUCCUUGUCUUGAGGAGAUCAUUUUAACAUGCCAGAAAAGCCUUAACUGACUCUGGAUAGAUACAGAGCCUCUAAAAACAACAACAAAUUUACCUUUUACAAUAUUUACUGCAUAUAAAGCACAUUCUCAUAUCUUAUUUCAUUUUUGAAAUAUAGUUGGUGGCCAAGAUUGAUAUUAUCUUUUUCAUUUCUUUUUAGAGGGGAGCCAAGGCUUAUUUAAGUGAUGUGUCCAAGGUGGUAGAGUGGUUUAGUGAUGGAGCCAAGACUUAUUUCGGAUUCCUUUGCUAACUCUCUUUGGAGUGUCUGAUGUUCCUAUACCACCAAUUUUGUCAGCUGGGUGAGAGCCUCGCCACUUUUCACUUAACUGGUGUCUACUCAUUGCAACAUUGAUGCUCUUGGCCAGAAUUGAAGCGGUCUUACCCUCUAUACCUUCUCCUACUGCUUUGGAAAGAUCCUCUGAAGACAAAAGUGAGAUGUGGAAAACCACAGAAAGGUCUUUAUGUCUUUUUUUUCAUAUCUUAGGCAUUCACUGGGAUGACAAAAUGUCCAUGGCUCAUGAAUGACCCAAGAAGGAAUGGAACCUUGAGAUAGAAACUGGCAGCCUGAUCAACAAGCCUUCUUCAAAGGGCUAUUGUGUGACUGACAACGAGGAGAGUACAGUCGAUAUUGGAUCACUGAUUUUGGCUGGAUGGCUGACAACCUCAUCAGAAUUCUCUUACCUAGUAUCUCAUUUCAUUACCACUCUGCUUAAAGCCUUUAGUGGCUCUUCCAGUCACCUUGAGAUUAAAAUCCACAUGUAUUGGUUUAAUAGAAGUCCUUUACCAUGUGACGUCUUCCUUCCUUUGCUUCUUAUCUCUCACUCCACACUAGCUUGCUUUGCCAAUAUCCACAGAGUUGCUUUAUUUAUCCUCUCUAUGUCAUUGAACUUUUCAUUUGUCCAGAGUGCUAGAGCACCCUUCCAUCCUUCUUUAACUGGAAAUCCCUACUCACCCUUAGUGAUCAAUCCUCUGUGACUCCUUUCUUUCUACCACACUGUUACCCAGUGAGAGGCUUAUCCCUUACUGCCACAGAAUCGUUUGCUUUUUUCAGUAAUUGCUUUAUUACCUUGUGUACUUUAAUUACACAUUACAUCUGUUUCCUUGAUCCACCUAUCAUCUCCUGGGUUUGGAACUGCUAGAUGCUUAGUAAAAUAUCUAUUGUAUGAAUGAGCAAAAUAUGAGUGAAUUGUCAAACAUGAAGUAAUGAUUGACAAAAUAAUUUUUUUUUGUCUGACAUAGCCUAUAAUAUAAAACUUGAAGCUCAGCAUACAAUAAGUAUUCGAAGGCAUAACAUCAACUGCUGUAUUGGGCCUCAUGCCCCUCAUGACCAGUGGAAUUGAUAGGAUGCUUUCAGGUGCUCAAGGAGCAUCCUAGUUAGACUAACACUGAGAAGGUACCAAGGAUCCUUUCUUAUUGAACAGAACUAGGGCUUCCCCACUGAUGUCAGGCAAAGGCCACCAAAAGCAACAGCAUCACGAGGGCAUGUGAAUAAUAGAGGAAAUAGUUUGCUUUUGCCACCUGUACCCCUACAGAAUAUGGUACACAGAAAACACAUUGAAUUAGAAAGCUGUAACAGAGAGGCACAUGGUAAAGUGUCAUGAGAAGAAAAUCACAAUGUGACACUUAGGUGGUGGCAAAUGGAACAAAAAUCAGCUUUUCCAUUGAUACAAUUGCCCCCCUCAGACCACCACUUUCUCUUCAACAGCUGACAUUCAGACAACUUCUACCACAGCCUACUGGUUAGGUGGCUACCCUGGUGGUCUCUUACCCAGGGUAAAUCUCCAGCUCAAAGGAGAGAUCUGAGAGUCUUAGAGUCUCCCAUGGAAAGUUUACUGAGUAAGACUUUAGGUUGAUGAAGAGCAUAGGCUGGGAAAUUUGGGGGAGAGGGGUAGGUCAGAGUUUUCCUCAUCUGAUUUUAGUUCUUCUCCACUCAACACUUCUGAAACAGAAGCUAUUUCCUCUCUGCUCCACCACCUGCCUCCAGCCUCAGCCUCAGCUUCAGGGUGGUCUACCACAAUAUUCUGUACUGAGAGAUAGCAGAGAAGCCACCAACCUUCCUGUCAGGUACUACACCAAGCAGAGGAAGAUUCAGCCAGUGCCAGACCAAAGAAAAAUGUCUUUGAUGUCUGUCUGGUUAGCAUGUAAAGAGAAUGGAACCUAAGGGAGAGCUCUGGGAAAAACACAUUGCCUCCCAAGGUCUGAAUGUAUGCAGGGAAAAGAAGUAUUGAUAUUCUGGAAAUUUUGCUUGGGAGAUUUUGGAGUAUAGAAACAAAUUGUUCUAUGCACUUCUGAACCUGCAAACAGGAUAACAUCUGGCAUCUGGUAGUGACUCAGAAAUAUCUUGAGUGCAUCAUCAUGUAAAGGAAAGAGGGAAGAUAGGAUUAUUCCCCAGAGGGUAGCUGGGUGCUUGCCAAGUAUGGGGAACUGGGUAGAAAUAACUUUAAUUUUGUCUUUUUAAAAAGGGGUCAAAAGAAUCUGGAGUGCUCAGUUAUCUUCUUUAAAUAGCAAUGGAGAGUUUGCAGCAUGAGAUAUUGUAUAACUGCUUUUAUCAGUUGUGGGAGUUCCUGUCAUGGCUCAGUAGUUAACAAACACGACCAGAGUCCAUGAGGAUGUGGGUCCAAUCCCUGGCCCCACUCAGUGGGUUAAGGAUCUGGCAUUGACAUGAGCUGUGGUGUAGGUCACAGAUGUGACUUGGAUUCUCUGUUGCUGUGGCUGUGCUGUAGGCUGGCAGCUACUGCUCUGAUUUAACCCCUAGCCUGGGAAUCUCCAUAUGCCACAGGUGUGGCCCUAAAAAGACAAAAGACAAAAUACAAAAAAAAUAGUCUCAGUCGUUACCCAUUUUCAGGGCAACUGCACUCAUAGGUGAAGUAGACCAUCCUAAACAUGUCUUGACUUGAGAGAGGGAUGUUCCAGGCAGAGGGAACAGAAUGUGAGAAGACCCUGAGGUAUAAGAGACUAAUGUGCUAGAAGUGCCUUAAUAAAUGAUGAAGAAGCAGUGAAACUUAGACAAGGAUACCAGAUGGUCUGAGUAAAAUAAGAAAAGUAGUUAUUAAUCCCAUUCUUCUUAGUUUGAUGGAAUCAUGGAUUAACUUUUGAGAAGAAGUGCCUGGAAAUCAGAGCUUAGAUUUAAAUUUACAGAUUUUGAUGCCACCUCCACUUGUGCACCUGGACCUUUCUGAUUCCCCCAUGUUUAAUAAAAUUUCAGAAAGGUACUGCCAUCUUUGAUUUUUCCUGGAAUAAGCACAUUUCCAAACUGGCUCAAUUGCAUGGAGAGAAAGAAAGGAGGAGUUUACUUUAUGGCUCUGUUACUUGUUAAGUCUAUGUAUCUCAUUUUCAUUUCAUUUCUACUUAAGCUAGUUCCAUCUAGGUUUCUGUUCUUGCAACCCCAAGUACUAAUCCUCAUCACCUGCCUUAAUUUCAGGGGUGAGGCUUCUUGCCUCCAUUUUUAGUCCAAUUUCUUUGUUCCAGCAAAGGGGUUUUAGUACAGCCUUCUGCUAACAUUACUGAACAAUUUCAUUAGCCUUAGGCUCUUAUGAAAAUCUACUACAAUUGGAGGAUCAGGGAAAGCAUUUAUGUUGUAAACUGUAUAGGUGCUUAACUAAGACAUCACAUGUCUUUUGUUCUAAAAUAAAACCAAUAGUAAGGCACUUAACUGAAAAUGAAUUUUUUGGAGAAAAAAAACAGAAAAGAUGCUGCCACAGUCAAUGUAAACAAUCUAAAACUGAUUCUAACUUUAGAAAUGGUAAAGAUAUGGAAAAAUAGGUAUUUGAAAUUGUGGCAAUGUAGUAAUGAUUUAGGUUUAAGUAUUAUAUCACGUCACACUUCACUAUGUUAUUAUAUAGAACAUUAUUAAUCAAUGCAUCAUCCUUAAGUCAUUUGUUCAGAGAUGUUUCAUGAAAAGAACUCAAAAGUUUAAUAGCAUAUCUUUUUCUCUCCUUCUUUUUUUUUUUUUUUUUUUUUUUUUUUGUCUUUUUGCGUUUUCUAGGGCCGCUCCCGCAGCGUAUGGAGGUUCCCAGGCUAGGGGUGUAAUCAGAGCUGUAGCUACUGGCCUACACCAGAGCCACAGCAACAUGGGAUCCGAGCCAUGUCUGUGAUCUACACCACAGCUCAUGACAACGUUGGAUCCUUUAACCCACUGAGCAAGGCCAGGGAUCGAAGCUGCAACCUCAUGGUUCGUUAACCAUGGUUCAGAUUCAUUAACCACUGCGCCACGAUGGGAACUCCCUUUUUUUCUUCUCAAUUAUGGAUCUUUUCUUAUGAAAGCUUGAGGAUAUGCUCCAGGAAAACAAAAGAAGUAA
rnacentral:lncRNA from 1 species